GAGGUUGUGUUAAAUUCUUAAACUAAGUGCCACUUUGUCCCACUAUCACCUGCUGCAGGGGUGGCAUUUUGCACGUUAAUGGGUCAUAGAACUAUACACAAUGAGUUUUAAAUUCAUGAUUUAAUAUUAAUGAUAUUUUAAAUUAUGUUAUAUGUUUUAAUUCUAGAUGUUUAUUUAUAUGCUGCGUGCCUUUGGAGUGUUUUAAUGCGCGUGCGCGUAAACAUUCGAGUCGCAUUUAAAGACUGGAGCGCGCGCGAGAGCAGAUGGAAACGAGGAAACGUCAUCAACUGACAAACAGCAAAACUAGCGUUUCUUGCUGUUGUUUUCACUGCUUUUAGAAAUGGUUUUGUGUCUUCGAAAAAGUCCGUUAGCAUCUCAACCGUUUUCAGAAGAGAUCAUCAUGUUGAUGGCCUGCUGCACCCCCUGUCCAAGACAAUCUCCACGGCUAUGAACCAUAUGAUUAGUCUGUCUUGAAUUAUGUUGGCCAAUGAGACAGACACCAUACUGUCCAACUCAAAGAUGAGGUAUAAUCCCUAGCGUUUGGACCUGUGAUUCUUCAGGACAAGAUCUUGAUGCCAUCCACACUCAGUACAUGAAG